GAUUUUUUCAAAUUUUUUUAUUUAUGAUCUUUAUUACAAUAAUACCCCAUGAUCAAAUUAUCCGCAUUCCACUACUCUUUUGAACAUCGUGCCUACUUUACAUGUACAAGCUCCCUGAAAUUUCAAAUUUCGAAUUCAAAAUCAAUUAAAAAAGGAAUUCAUUCCCAAUUUUCCAUCAUGUAUGUUCUCCAUUCUCUGUUUCAUUUUUCUCUCUUCCUCCUCUUCUUCUUUGAUUCUUCUCCUUCAUCGUCAGUUCCUCCUCUUUUUUUUUCUUCCCUUCUUCCGUUCGUUUCUUCUUCCUGUUCCUAAUCUAAGUUGGAGAUGGAGGUUAUAAAGUUCAUGUACUCACCAAGGCAGAGGAUGUCAUUGUACCUGGUGGCUCCAAACUUCAGGGGAGUCAUCGCGGUGGAGGCAACGCCAGCGGUGGUGGUAGGGUUACGGCGGUGGAUGAGGUGCCGAUUGCUGUGGUGGUGGACGAUGGUAUGACGUGGUGGUCGCAGUGGGUGUGGUGGAGUUCGUGGUAACUAUCCAUGUGUGGUGAUGGAUACGGAGGAGGAAGCGGCGGAAGAAAGCAUAUAGCUGGAAAGUACUAAGUGGCGUUCAUAGAGAGCACAUGCAGUGAGACUAUGAAAGCCGAAAGCACAGCAGAACAGAGCCGUGAGAUCUAAUCGGCGUUCAUGUAUUAAACAACAAAAUCAAAUCAGCUGUCUGUGAAACAUGGUUCGGUAUCUCCUUUUGAGCUUUGAUCAUGGAGUUUGGUAUCUACAUGUUGAAUGGUUGAUCUAAGUAGAGCAAGGCACCUUUGCUUGAGAUAGUUUCCGAGUCUGAUAUAAAAACGGGUAUUGAAGCAGCAGAGCAUGCAGCAGAAAUACAGAGAUUGGUUCGGUAUUUGGGAGUGAGCAAUGGCAAUAUGCCAAUAUGUUCACCCCAUUAUGUACAAGCACAAAUAUAGUGGAGGUCAUGGUUCUCAGUGAAUUUUGACAGCAAAGCUGCAAAGGCUUCUCGAUAGUGCAAUAUGAAGACAAGAUCCAUGGGUAUGAAGAAUUCUACUAAGAAAACUAUUAGAAGGAAUCACAAAUAAGUGGUAAUUUAUUUUCCCAAUUAAUCUACUGAUAGUUGUCAUUUAUUUAUGGGGUUUUUGUUGGUUUGUUCUUUUUUGGUAUUUUUUAGUUUGUUCUUUUGUCAUUUAGUUAUUUCAGCAGGGUUCAAGCUAUGAUCAAGAAGCUUUACCUUAAGUUACCAAGAAUAAACCACCAGUUUCUUUCUUCAAAUUACUAAAGAGCAAUGGGACUUUCAACUUUCCGUUUUGUGGAUGACUGCUAUUAUAAUAUACAUUUAAUUCACAUUUAUUUAUUUAUUUUUUGAAUUUGAUCUGUUUUAUUUUGUUCUCUUUUACCUUUUCCAGUUUUAUUUCAAUUUGAAUGCUUCUAUAGUAAGAACAUUGCCAUCAAUUGCUUGGAUAGAGGUGGAUUUGAUAUUCUUCUUUCAGUGGUUAUGUUUUAGUUCGAUGAGGUAGAUUUGGCUGGCGCAAAGUUUGAAUAAUGGUUUGUUGAGAUGGUGAAUUUGUCUCUGUAUCUUAAAAAAAUUAUAUAUUUGGCAAAUAUAUGCACUUAAACCAUUUUUACAAUUUUUCUUUCGAAAGCCUCUGUUCCUAUAGAGUUAAGAUAGUUCUUUCUUAAACUCUUUAAUUUAUGAGAACCUAUUAUUUUACAUAAUGAGAGUUUAGAGAUCAACCAUUUUGCAUUGCUGGCACUGUGCAUCCUGUUUUCUAGAAAAAUAACUAUUUAUAUUUCUUAAAUGAUUUAGGACUAUGAAGUUCUCAAAAAACUUGCUUGUGUGACUGAUAAAUCUGAUAGAAGAGCCCCUGAGCAAUUACGUGAGUAAGAAGAUUCAGUAUUUCGUUGUACUUAAUGUUCUAUGCACUUUUUUUUUUCCGUUGUACUUAGUGUUCUAUGCUCUUUUUUCUUUUUCAUUUUUGUUGAAAUCAUGUGCCUUCUCCUGCUUAUUUGCUUUUCAAAGAGUUGGGUAUUGAUUUGCCUAUAUAUUAUGACUUAAUUUUUUUCAUUUGAGGGAUAUAAUUUUGCUUUAAAAUAUCGGAUUGCCAUUCCUUAAUUGAGUUCUUUGUUUACUAUAGAGAAUUCUGCACCACAAUUCCUAAUGAUUUUGGACUCAGAAAAAUUAAGCUCUCUCUCCCAUACGUUUUUUUAUCCACUUUGUCUCCUUUUAUAUUAAUGAUAGGUAUCAAUUGCUUUGCAACAUUAAUAUUUGAUAUUCUUCUUUCAGUGGUUAUGUUUUAGUUCGACGAGGUGGAUCUGGCUGGUGCAAAGUUUGAAUAUUUAUGGUUUGGACUUUGGAGUAAAUAUUUAUUUUUUUUUAAAAAAUCAUGAAGCUUUUUUUUUGCUGCUUUAGCUUUCAUUAUUGUAUAUUCACGCUCUAACUACACAUGCUAUAUUUUUUCAGCUAAUUUUUGUUGAGAUGGUGACUUUUAUCUUGAAAAUUUUAUGUUUGGCAAAUAUAUGCAUUUAAACUAUUUUUUCAAUUUUUCUUUUGAAAGCCUCUGUUCCUAUAGAAUUAAGAUAGUUCUUUCCUAGACUCUUCCAUUUAUGUGAACCUAUUAUUCUACAUAAUGAGAGUUUUUAGAGAUCAACCAUUUUGCAUUGUGUGCAUUGUGCAUCCUGUUUUCUAGAAAAAUAGCUAUUCAUAUUUCUUAAUGAUUUAGAGCUAUGAAGUUCUCAAAAGACUUGCUUAGGUGAUAUAUAAUAUUCUAUGCUCUUUUGAACGUGCAUAAUUGUAUUUCUCUUAUUAUCAUUAUUAUUUUGACUACCGCUCUAUUAAUGUAUAUUUAUAAUUUUACAUGACUUUUGUGGUAUUA